rnacentral:piRNA from 1 species
UGGCUUGAGUAGGUUCUGACCUCUGA